CUCUCUCUCUCUCCAACCACCACCCUAAAUCAUUUUCUCUCUCUCUCCCUUGAGGCGGUGAAACUUUGACAGGUGAGAGAGAGAGAGAGAGGGGGGGGGAGGGGUUCGAGUCAGGUAGCUCAUCAUUGCAACAAAAGAAGGGAGGGAAGGUAGAAAUUUCUGUAAUAACCUAAGGGGACUUUCAACCCAAACUGCACCUUCACCUCUCACCUGGGCGGGAAAGGAAAGGUAGGGGGGGAAGGGAGACAGGUGGAAAGGGGUAGUCCGGAGUUAAUUAGGGAAAGGUAUGUAGGAUGCAGGUGAGAACACAGGUAGCAGGUGUAGGGUCAUUUAUAGGAUGGGGAAGUAGGCAGGUGUUCUCAGGUUAAUUGGGUGAGUCAGGUGUGUGAGGAAGUAAAGAUUUCGUAGGUAGUACAUACUUUAAUUAGGAAUGCAAAGGACAGGUGUGUGCGUAAGUUAGUGAUGAUUCAAUGACAGGUUAAAAUGAUAGACAGAAGAAGUGCAGAAAUAAGGGAGCGGAGUAGAAAUAAAGGAAAAAUGUGUUAGCAAUAGAUAAAUGACAGAUUGAUAUGACAGAUAGAUAGAAGUGCAUUAAACAAAUAUGACUAGACAGAUGUGCAGAAAUGAGAGAGCGGAAGUGAAAUGUAAGAGAGGUUAGUGAUGAAUAAAUGACAGGUUAAAGUGACAGAUAAACAGAAAUGAGACAGAAAGGUACAAAAGCAUCAAAUUAAAAGUAUAAGAUAGGUGAACAGAUAUAAAGACACGAGAUGACAUAUAGAAAUGAGAUAGAAAGGUACUGUACAUACAAGAGCAUUAAAUAAGUAGUACUAGACAGGUAAACAUAUAAAGACACGAAAUAGCUGAUAGAAAUGAGACAGAAAGGUACAAUAACAUUAAAUUUUAAGUACAAGACAGGUAAACAGAUAUAAAGAAACGAGAUGACAGAUAGAAAUGAGAUGAAUAAGGACAAGAGCAUCAAAUUAUAAGACAAGUAAACAUAUAUAAAGACAUAAGACAGGUAGAAAUGAGAUGAAAAAGGACAAGAGCAUCAAAUUAUAAGACAAGUAAACAUAUAUAAAGACACAAGACAGAUAGAAAUGAGACGGAUAAGCACAGGAGCAUCAAAUUAUAAGACAAGUAAACAUAUAUAAAGACACAAGACAGAUAGAAAUGAGACGGAUAAGCACAGGAGCAUCAAAUUAUAAGACAAGUAAACAUAUAUAAAGACAUGAGACAGGUGCGCAUAUUAUCUAAAAGCAUAAAGACAGGUUAAGACGGGAGAGAUAAAGCGAUUAGCCGUGUAUAUGUUACCCAAUGCAUUCCUGACAGGUUAAGACGCUAGACAAACAAAUAUACAGAGAUUAAACUAGUGUAUAUACGUGAUGCAUUUAGAAUAUAAGAUAAGACAGACAGACAUAAAAUUGACAGGUACGCAGGUGUUUGUUAUGUAAUGCAUUUCAAACAGGUAGACAGAGAUAGACAGAUGAGACAGGUGUGUGUGUGUGUGUGUGUGUGUGUGAGAGAUAGCAUUUCACUGGCACGUUACAAUGAUAGGGAAAAGAAAGGUGGAUAUAUAAACACAGGUAUGACAGGUAUACAGAAAUAGACGGAGAUGAGACAGGUGUGUGUGUGUGUGUGUGUGUGUGUGUGUGUGUGUGUGUGUGUGUGUGUGUGUGUCAGCCCUUCACUGGCACCUUAGGAAUGAUUGGUGAAAGAAAGAAAGGUGGACGAGCACAGGUUUGACAGGUGUGUGGGUAUCAGGAAAUAAAUAGAUAAAAAAAAAAAAAGGGUAAGAAAUUUCAAUAUACAAUUAAUUACGUGAAGUUUUACAGUCCUUUAAAAAAAAUAAAUGAAAACUUUAUCUAAAAACGCGAUAAAAAAAAAAAAAAAAGGAGGGCGGUGAUGAAAUAGAUAAAUAAAAAUAGAUGACAAAAUAAAUAGAUAAAAAUAAAAUUUAAAAAAUUAUGCUAGGGUGACUUGGAAUAGACGGAGAGGGAAAUAAAUGAGUGGAGGAAGUUGGAUGGAGGAAAGUUUGGCUUGUGGGAAGUGGAGUAAACGGUCAGGAGAGAGAAAAAAAUUAAAACGGGUAGAGAAAGGAAGAUUAUGUUAGGGUGAGGUGGAAAAGACGGAAGGAAAGGAUAAAAAUGAGUGAAAAGAGUUGAAAUAUGAAGGUUUUUCUUAGGGUGAGGAGGAAUAGACGGAUGGGAGAGAGAAAAAUGCGUGAAAAGAGUUGAAAUAUGAAGGUUUUUGUUAGGGUGAGGAGGAAUAGACGGAUGGAGAGAGAAAAUGAGUAAAAAGAGUUGAAAUGUGAAGGUUUCGUUUGGGUGAGGUGGAAUAGACGGGCGGGAAAAAUAGAAUUAGAUAAAAUAGUUAAAAAAAUGAAGGUUUUGUUUGGGUGAGGUGGAACAGACGAAAAGGCAAGAGAAAAUAAAAUUAAUGAGGAA
rnacentral:lncRNA from 1 species